rnacentral:rRNA from 1 species
CAGUAGCCGCGGGAAUACAGAGGGUGCAAGCGUUAAUCGGAAUUACUGGGCGUAAAGCGCGCGUAGGUGGUUUGUUAAGUUGGAUGUGAAAUCCCCGGGCUCAACCUGGGAACUGCAUCCAAAACUGGCAAGCUAGAGUAUGGUAGAGGGUGGUGGAAUUUCCUGUGUAGCGGUGAAAUGCGUAGAUAUAGGAAGGAACACCAGUGGCGAAGGCGACCACCUGGACUGAUACUGACACUGAGGUGCGAAAGCGUGGUGAGCAAACAGGAUUAGAUACCCGCGUAGUCCCUGUCUCUUAUAC